ACUAGUGAGAAAGCUGAAAGAAUACAGGAAAUGGUCAUCCGUCUAGGGAUCAACGAGUUGUUGAUACACCAUAUCAACAGAUUGCAACAUUUCUGCCACUGGAAGCGAAUGGGUAUAUUGGAAUCAUCAUCCUUCCGGUUGCUUGUAACUCCUUGCAGUUCGAUGUGGGUCCUACUGAGAGUAUCGGUUGGGAGGAUGCGUUAAACCGGUUAAACUGCAUUCGUGCUUCUGCACGAAGCUGAAAUCGUAGCUGUAGUAGCUCAAGGAUAUUGGGAUGAAGAAAAAUGCGAUAUUGAGCGGUAAUCUGAUCGUUGUAACGGCCCCAUUUGAAUUAAAGAACAUAAAGACAUAGUUACGUUAGAAUUGCCUGAAGAAACAAGUUUAAAAAUGUGCCAUAAGAAAAAGUUAUUAUAUUGAAUAAUUGGACUUUACAA